GUGCUUGCUCUGGCAGCAUAUAAACUAAUAUUGGAAUGAUAAAGAGAAGAUCAGCAUGGCUCCUGCACAAAGAUGACACACAAAUUCAUAAAGUGUUCCAUAUUUUU